AUGCUGGCAGAGGCCGGGGACGGGCCGGCCCCUGGGCUUGGCCGCCCGGCCUCUGCUGUCCCUGCUCUCGUCUCCCCGAAGGAGGGGGCAGGCCCGGCCCCGGAGGCUUCCAGUCAAUGGAGGCAGAGAUUCCGGCAGCCCCUCCCCCACGGGCCAGGAGGCCCCCCAAGCCGGCUAACCCUCGCCGCAGCCUCCCCGGCCCAGAGAGGGCGGCCCGAGCAGGAGCAGCGGACUCAGAAGGGGCUGAGAGCCAGGAAGGAGCCUCCGCCAGGCCGCCAGGCCGCCGGCCUUGCUCAGCCCCGGGGGGAGCCUGGGAGAAACGGCGCGUCCCGGCAGCUGCCUCCAUUUCUUCCUCUGAAAAAUGACCCUGACUACUUCCUGGCCCAAAUCCAAGAGCCACUCGUGACUUGGCUGGGAAGGACCCAAGUUCAAAUCCCGCCUCCCCCAUCUCCAUGGCCCUCAGUUUCCCCCCCUCUGCUUCCCGGCCCCAAGCCUGGCGGGGAACCCGGGCCCGCAGAGGGGGAGGGGAGCCGCAGCUCUGGGGCGCCUUCCGUGGCCUCCGCUCCGGUGUGGGGGGAGCCGGGCGGCUCCGCUUCUUCUGGGGUUCUCCUUGUGGCUCCCUCUGUCGGGGGGCUGCCCCCCAGCUUCAGAGCCCCCCAAAGGCAAAUCCCUGCAAUCCUCCUGAGGGGCCAGCACGGGGCCCCCGAAGCCCCCGCCUCAGCACGGCCAUGGGGGUGUUCAUCGAUCGGCCCGUGGAGGCUGCCCACCUUGGACGCCUCGAGGCCGGCCUCCGCAGGCCGGGCCUUCUCCCGAGCUGCGCCGGGGCGGCUCUCCCGUGCCGGGCUCCCCAGGUGGGCACGUGCCCUCUCCUCACCCCCCUCUGGGAACCUCCGCUUUCCUUCAAGGCUUGGCUCAGGCGCCGCCUCCUCCAGGAAGCCCUCGCUUGAGGAUCCUUGGGUAGGAAGGCCGGGGAGAUGGGUGGAGCUGGCGUCCAGGGACAGGCUUGGGCCGGCCAAGCAGGCCCUGUCCGGGCAAGCCUCAGGUCAAGGGUCAGGAAUGCGCCGGCCUGGGGAGGGAGAGGCCGAGGGCACCUGCCGGCCACCCUCAAAGCUGGAAGGAGGGGCAUACAGCAGGUGCUUCAUUAAUGCUCCCUGGCCAUGGCUGGUCAGGAAGCCCGAGGCACUCCAACAGCCGUCCCAGCCCUGCUUGGCGGCCCUGCCGGGAGCAUCGCUGUGCGCCGGCCUCCCCCCUCCCGGGCGCUCUCUGGAGGGCAACAAACCCUCCUUGGACCAAAGAGAUCUUUGGGGCCUCCUUGUCUUUGGGGGAGGGGCACAAGGGAAGCCCAGUGAGGGGUGA
rnacentral:lncRNA from 1 species